rnacentral:lncRNA from 1 species
CUCAGAUGUAUCCCUCUGCCGCGGAGUGAUACCAAUAUAUUACAGCGAUCCAAUAUAGUGAAACAUAACGUUUAUGUCUAAGAGUUAGAAAGUGUUCCCACUACAACAAACAAAUACUUAAAUACAUGUAAUUUUGUCCUUGCAAUAUUUAAUUGAAAUACUGUAGAAUUAUAUUCAUUCCUAUGGAGGACUGCUCCUACGCAAGGUUUUUCCACCUUUUAAUGGGGCGAUUGGUGGCUAAUCGGGUGCACCACUGGGGAGUGCCAAUAUAACCGACAGGUGGUUUCAAAGGCUCUCAUUGGCCGAUACAUAGCAUGCGCAAUCCAGGGUUUACAUACGUCAUUGGAAUAAAUGGACCCGUCUCGGAUGCCGUACUAAACCCGGACAGGAUGUGGCUUUGAAUUACGUUACAUGAAUUUGUUAGCUAAGAACAACGACUUGUAAGCAUAAUGACAAAAACAUGUUGCCCCAAGAAAAAAUAGCUUUUGUAUCAAAGUAGAGGAUCGUGGCGGGGAUGUGGCUACGUUAUGGGAAACGUUUUCGGGAGAAAGAGUCGCCCUUCUCGAGUCACAGAACAAGACCGAGCGAUUCUGCAACUGAAACAGCAGAGAGAUAAACUGAAGCACUACCAGAAGAGAGUCACCCUGCAGCUGGAGAAGGAGAGGAGUCUGGCCAAGCAGCUGCUGAAGGAUGGAAAGAAAGAGAAGGCACUGGUUCUUCUCAAGAAGAAGCGUUAUCAGGAUCAACUGCUAGACAAGACUGAGACCCAGAUAUCAAACCUGGAACGCAUGGUUCAAGACAUUGAGUUUGUCCAGAUCGAGAUGAAAGUCAUUGAGGGGCUGAAGGUUGGAAAUGACUGUCUGAAGAGUAUGCAUGAGGCCAUGUCACUAGAGGAUGUGGAGAGGAUCAUGGAUGAGACCCAGGAUGCUAUAGAAUACCAGAGGCAAAUAGAUGAGAUGCUGUCAGGCUCCCUGACUCAGGAGGAUGAGGAUGCUGUGCUAUCUGAGCUGGAGGCUAUCACUCAGGGAGAAGAUGUAGAACUUCCAGAGGUCCCCACUGAGCCUCUACCAGAGGUCCCAGAACCAGCUGAAACAGAGCCAGAGAGAAGACCAGCAAGGAACAAGGAGAACAGAGAGAUGCUGGCAGCGUAGAGACAAGACUUAACAAUAACAACAGUAGCUGGAGUUAGUCCAACUGACUCAAUAACAACAAUAUCAACAGUAGCUGUGGAUGGAGCUAGUCCAACUGACAACAAUAACAACAGUAGCUGUGGAUGGAGCUAGUCCAACUGACUCAACAACAACAAUAUCAACAGUAGCUGUGGAUGGAGCUAGUCCAACUGACUCAACAACAACAAUAACAACAGUAGCUGUGGAUGGAGCUAGUCCAACUGACUCAACAACAACAAUAACAACAGUAGCUGUGGAUGGAGUUAGUCCAACUGACUCAACAACAACAAUAUCAACAGUAGCUGUGGAUGGAGUUAGUCCAACUGACUCAAUAACAACAAUAUCAACAGUAGCUGUGGAUGGAGUUAGUCCAACUGACUCAACAACAACAAUAACAGCAGUAGCUGUGGAUGGAGCUAGUCCAACUGACAACAAUAACAGUAGCUGUGGAUGGAGUUAGUCCAACUGACUCAACAACAACAAUAUCAACAGUAGCUGUGGAUGGAGUUAGUCCAACUGACUCAAUAACAACAAUAUCAACAGUAGCUGUGGAUGGAGCUAGUCCAACUGACUCAACAACAACAAUAUCAACAGUAGCUGUGGAUGGAGUUAGUCCAACUGACUCAAUAACAACAAUAACAACAGUAGCUGUGGAUGGAGCUAGUCCAACUGACAACAAUAACAACAAUAUCAACAGUAGCUGUGGAUGGAGUUAGUCCAACUGACUCAACAACAACAAUAUCAACAGUAGCUGUGGAUGGAGCUAGUCCAACUGACAACAAUAACAACAGUAGCUGUGGAUGGAGCUAGUCCAACUGACAACAAUAACAACAAUAUCAACAGUAGCUGUGGAUGGAGCUAGUCCAACUGACUCAACAACAACAAUAUCAACAGUAGCUGUGGAUGGAGCUAGUCCAACUGACUCAACAACAACAACAGUAGCUGUGGAUGGAGCUAGUCCAACUGACUCAACAACAACAAUAUCAACAGUAGCUGUGGAUGGAGUUAGUCCAACUGACUCAACAACAACAAUAUCAACAGUAGCUGUGGAUGGAGCUAGUCCAACUGACUCAAUAACAACAGUAGCUGUGGAUGGAGUUAGUCCAACUGACUCAACAACAACAACAGUAGCUGUGGAUGGAGUUAGUCCAACUGACUCAACAACAACAACAACAGUAGCUGUGGAUGGAGCUAGUCCAACUGACUCAACAAUAACAACAGUAGCUGUGGAUGGAGCUAGUCCAACUGACUCAACAACAACAAUAUCAACAGUAGCUGUGGAUGGAGCUAGUCCAACUGACUCAACAACAACAAUAACAACAGUAGCUGUGGAUGGAGCUAGUCCAACUGACUCAACAACAACAAUAUCAACAGUAGCUGUGGAUGGAGUUAGUCCAACUGACUCAACAACAACAAUAUCAACAGUAGCUGUGGAUGGAGUUAGUCCAACUGACUCAACAAUAUCAACAGUAGCUGUGGAUGGAGCUAGUCCAACUGACUCAACAACAACAAUAUCAACAGUAGCUGUGGAUGGAGUUAGUCCAACUGACUCAACAACAACAAUAACAACAGUAGCUGUGGAUGAAGCUAGUCCAACUGACAACAAUAACAACAAUAUCAACAGUAGCUGUGGAUGGAGUUAGUCCAACUGACUCAACAACAACAAUAUCAACAGUAGCUGUGGAUGGCGCUAGUCCAACUGACAACAAUAACAACAGUAGCUGUGGAUGGAGCUAGUCCAACUGACAACAAUAACAACAAUAUCAACAGUAGCUGUGGAUGGAGCUAGUCCAACUGACUCAACAACAACAAUAUCAACAGUAGCUGUGGAUGGAGCUAGUCCAACUGACUCAAUAACAACAACAGUAGCUGUGGAUGGAGCUAGUCCAACUGACUCAACAACAACAAUAUCAACAGUAGCUGUGGAUGGAGUUAGUCCAACUGACUCAACAACAACAAUAACAACAGUAGCUGUGGAUGGAGCUAGUCCAACUGACUCAAUAACAACAGUAGUUGUGGAUGGAGUUAGUCAAACUGACAACAAUAACAACAGUAGCUGUGGAUGGAGCUAGUCCAACUGACUCAACAACAACAAUAUCAACAGUAGCUGUGGAUGGAGCUAGUCCAACUGACUCAACAACAACAAUAACAACAGUAGCUGUGGAUGGAGCUAGUCCAACUGACUCAACAACAACAAUAUCAACAGUAGCUGUGGAUGGAGCUAGUCCAACUGACUCAACAACAACAAUAACAACAGUAGCUGUGGAUGGAGUUAGUCCAACUGACUCAACAACAACAAUAUCAACAGUAGCUGUGGAUGGAGUUAGUCCAACUGACUCAAUAACAACAAUAUCAACAGUAGCUGUGGAUGGAGCUAGUCCAACUGACUCAACAACAACAAUAUCAACAGUAGCUGUGGAUGGAGCUAGUCCAACUGACAACAAUAACAACAGUAGCUGUGGAUGGAGCUAGUCCAACUGACAACAAUAACAACAAUAUCAACAGUAGCUGUGGAUGGAGCUAGUCCAACUGACUCAACAACAACAAUAUCAACAGUAGCUGUGGAUGGAGCUAGUCCAACUGACUCAAUAACAACAACAGUAGCUGUGGAUGGAGCUAGUCCAACUGACUCAACAACAACAAUAUCAACAGUAGCUGUGGAUGGAGUUAGUCCAACUGACUCAACAACAACAAUAACAACAGUAGCUGUGGAUGGAGCUAGUCCAACUGACUCAAUAACAACAGUAGCUGUGGAUGGAGUUAGUCCAACUGACUCAACAAUAACAACAGUAGCUGUGGAUGGAGCUAGUCCAACUGACUCAACAACAACAAUAUCAACAGUAGCUGUGGAUGGAGCUAGUCCAACUGACUCAACAACAACAAUAUCAACAGUAGCUGUGGAUGGAGCUAGUCCAACUGACUCAACAACAACAAUAUCAACAGUAGCUGUGGAUGGAGUUAGUCCAACUGACUCAACAACAACAAUAACAACAGUAGCUGUGGAUGGAGUUAGUCCAACUGACUCAACAACAACAAUAUCAACAGUAGCUGUGGAUGGAGUUAGUCCAACUGACUCAAUAACAACAAUAUCAACAGUAGCUGUGGAUGGAGCUAGUCCAACUGACUCAACAACAACAAUAUCAACAGUAGCUGUGGAUGGAGUUAGUCCAACUGACUCAAUAACAACAAUAUCAACAGUAGCUGUGGAUGGAGUUAGUCCAACUGACUCAACAAUAUCAACAGUAGCUGUGGAUGGAGUUAGUCCAACUGACUCAACAACAACAAUAUCAACAGUAGCUGUGGAUGGAGCUAGUCCAACUGACAACAAUAACAACAGUAGCUGUGGAUGGAGCUAGUCCAACUGACAACAAUAACAACAAUAUCAACAGUAGCUGUGGAUGGAGCUAGUCCAACUGACAACAAUAACAACAAUAUCAACAGUAGCUGUGGAUGGAGCUAGUCCAACUGACUCAACAACAACAAUAUCAACAGUAGCUGUGGAUGGAGCUAGUCCAACUGACUCAACAACAACAAUAUCAACAGUUGCUGUGGAUGGAGUUAGUCCAACUGACUCAACAACAACAAUAACAACAGUAGCUGUGGAUGGAGCUAGUCCAACUGACUCAAUAACAACAGUAGUUGUGGAUGGAGUUAGUCAAACUGACAACAAUAACAACAGUAGCUGUGGAUGGAGCUAGUCCAACUGACUCAACAACAACAAUAUCAACAGUAGCUGUGGAUGGAGCUAGUCCAACUGACUCAACAACAACAAUAUCAACAGUAGCUGUGGAUGGAGCUAGUCCAACUGACUCAACAACAACAAUAUCAACAGUAGCUGUGGAUGGAGUUAGUCCAACUGACUCAAUACACAAUAUCAACAGUAGCUGUGGAUGGAGCUAGUCCAACUGACUCAACAACAACAAUAUCAACAGUAGCUGUGGAUGGAGUUAGUCCAACUGACUCAACAACAACAAUAACAACAGUAGCUGUGGAUGGAGUUAGUCCAACUGACUCAACAAUAUCAACAGUAGCUGUGGAUGGAGUUAGUCCAACUGACUCAACAACAACAAUAUCAACAGUAGCUGUGGAUGGAGCUAGUCCAACUGACCCAACAACAAUAACAACAGUAGCUGUGGAUGGAGCUAGUCCAACUGACAACAAUAACAACAAUACAACAGUAGCUGUGGAUGGAGUUAGUCCAACUGACUCAAUAACAACAAUAUCAACAGUAGCUGUGGAUGGAGCUAGUCCAACUGACUCAACAACAACAAUAUCAACAGUAGCUGUGGAUGGAGCUAGUCCAACUGACUCAACAACAACAAUAUCAACAGUAGCUGUGGAUGGAGUUAGUCCAACUGACUCAACAACAACAAUAUCAACAGUAGCUGUGGAUGGAGCUAGUCCAACUGACUCAAUAACAACAGUACCUGUGGAUGGAGUUAGUCCAACUGACUCAAUAACAACAACAGUAGCUGUGGAUGGAGCUAGUCCAACUGACUCAACAACAACAAUAUCAACAGUAGCUGUGGAUGGAGCUAGUCCAACUGACUCAACAACAACAAUAACAACAGUAGCUGUGGAUGGAGCUAGUCCAACUGACUCAACAACAACAAUAACAACAGUAGCUGUGGAUGGAGUUAGUCCAACUGACUCAACAACAACAAUAUCAACAGUAGCUGUGGAUGGAGUUAGUCCAACUGACUCAAUAACAACAAUAUCAACAGUAGCUGUGGAUGGAGCUAGUCCAACUGACUCAACAACAACAAUAUCAACAGUAGCUGUGGAUGGAGUUAGUCCAACUGACUCAAUAACAACAAUAACAACAGUAGCUGUGUAUGGAGUUAGUCCAACUGACAACAAUAACAACAAUAUCAACAGUAGCUGUGGAUGGAGUUAGUCCAACUGACUCAACAACAACAAUAUCAACAGUAGCUGUGGAUGGAUCUAGUCCAACUGACAACAAUAACAACAGUAGCUGUGGAUGGAGCUAGUCCAACUGACAACAAUAACAACAAUAUCAACAGUAGCUGUGGAUGGAGCUAGUCCAACUGACUCAACAACAACAAUAUCAACAGUAGCUGUGGAUGGAGCUAGUCCAACUGACUCAAUAACAACAACAGUAGCUGUGGAUGGAGCUAGUCCAACUGACUCAACAACAACAAUAUCAACAGUAGCUGCGGAUGGAGUUAGUCCAACUGACUCAACAACAACAAUAUCAACAGUAGCUGUGGAUGGAGCUAGUCCAACUGACUCAAUAACAACAGUAGUUGUGGCUGGAGUUAGUCAAACUGACAACAAUAACAACAGUAGCUGUGGAGGGAGUUAGUCCAACUGACUCAACAACAACAAUAUCAACAGUAGCUGUGGAUGGAGUUAGUCCAACUGACUCAACAACAACAAUAUCAACAGUAGCUGUGGAUGGAGUUAGUCCAACUGACUCAACAACAACAAUAACAGCAGUGGCUGUGGAUGGAGCUAGUCCAACUGACUCAACAAUAACAACAGUAGCUGUGGAUGGAGUUAGUCCAACUGACUCAAUAACAACAAUAUCAACAGUAGCUGUGGAUGGAGCUAGUCCAACUGACUCAAUAACAACAGUAGCUGUGGAUGGAGUUAGUCCAACUGACUCAACAAUAACAACAGUAGCUGUGGAUGGAGUUAGUCCAACUGACUCAAUAACAACAGUAGCUGUGGAUGGAGUUAGUCCAACUGACUCAAUAUCAACAGUAGCUGUGGAUGGAGUUAGUCCAACUGACUCAAUAUCAACAGUAGCUGUGGAUGGAGUUAGUCCAACUGACUCAAUAUCAACAGUAGCUGUGGAUGGAGUUAGUCCAACUGACAACAAUAACAACAAUAUCAACAGUAGCUGUGGAUGGAGUUAGUCCAACUGACAACAACAACAUCAACAGUAGCUGUGGAUGGAGUUAGUCCAACUGACUCAAUAACAACAAUAUCAACAGUAGCUGUGGAUGGAGUUAGUCCAACUGACUCAACAACAACAAUAACAGCAGUAGCUGUGGAUGGAGCUAGUCCAACUGACAACAAUAACAACAAUAUCAACAGUAGCUGUGGAUGGAGUUAGUCCAACUGACUCAACAACAACAUCAACAGUAGCUGUGGAUGGAGUUAGUCCAACUGACUCAACAACAACAAUAUCAACAGUAGCUGUGGAUGGAGUUAGUCCAACUGACUCAACAACAACAAUAUCAACAGUAGCUGUGGAUGGAGCUUGUCCAACUGACUCAACAACAACAAUAACAACAGUAGCUGUGGAUGGAUCUAGUCCAACUGGCAACAAUAACAACAGUAGCUGUGGAUGGAGCUAGUCCAACUGACUCAACAACAACAAUAUCAACAGUAGCUGUGGAUGGAGUUAGUCCAACUGACUCAACAACAACAAUAUCAACAGUAGCUGUGGAUGGAGUUAGUCCAACUGACUCAACAACAACAAUAUCAACAGUAGCUGUGGAUGGAGUUAGUCCAACUGACUCAACAACAACAAUAACAACAGUAGCUGUGGAUGGAGUUAGUCCAACUGACUCAAUAACAACAAUAACAACAGUAGCUGUGGAUGGAGUUAGUCCAACUGACUCAAUAACAACAAUAACAACAGUAGCUGUGGAUGGAGUUAGUCCAACUGACUCAACAACAACAAUAACAACAGUAGCUGUGGAUGGAGUUAGUCAUCAUGCUGGUCUCUCACUGCUGGCCUGUCCAGUCCCUGAUCCCUCUCUGUCUCGUAGAAUGGAGUGCAGUAUACCACAGCUCUCUGCCUGGCUGGCUGGAGACCAAGUCAGAUGUGGACUGGAUUCCACCCACAAGGCUUCGGCCCAC